UUGCUGUCAGGUGAGGACGGGAGAGCCGGGGUUGUGGUGGUCUCCCCCGGUGCCCCGGCACGGCCCAGCACCGCCGUCCCAAGCCGCUGGUGGUCUGGCUGAGGGCCGCCAGUUUUGGCUGCAGGCGGAGCGCUGCGCGGGGUGCCGCACCGCGGAGCAAGGGCCCCGCAGAUGGCCGCAGGAAAGCCACUUGCAUUGACCAAGGGAUGUGAAUACCAUCAGAGAACUUUGUUGUGGCUCCUCAAGGUGCAGAAUUCCCAAGUGGAUGAAUGGUCAACAUGGCCACAUCCUGUGCUCAUUGGCAUCAGGAAAGCAAGAAAGCCUUUUUGGAUUCAUCUAAUGUAGAAUGGAGUUCAAGGUGAACUACAUCAGCAUGGAUUUAAAGACCAGAGUGCAACCAGAAAUAUGACGUCCCACGACAGAAUUUGCCACUGAAAAUCUGGGACCUGAGGCUUUCCAGCUAGGCUUUGCAUGGAGUCCUGGGCCAGGAGGCUUAGACAUUCAAUUUAACAAUGUCAACAACUCUGCUGCAGAGAGGAACAAAACCAGGUUUUAAACAAGUGUAUGAACAUUCACAGGCAUGUGCACAUGUAAGUAUGUAAGGUAUGAACAUCUUAUGUAUGUAAGUACAGUAGUGAUUUCAGAGGACUGUAAAUACCAAUUGCCUUCACACAAUCCAUUUAUCACUGUAUUACUCAAUAUUUAUAUUGUGAUGAUUAAAAGGAGUCAUCUCUUACCUGGCCUUUCUCUCUGUUUUUAACACCGAACACUGCUGAAAAUUAAUGUUUCAUUACAUACAUCAGUAUUUCCCAGUAAUUUUGAAACAAUUAUCUUGCAUAUUUCUCUUUAAACUGUCCUUCAUUUUCAGCUAACUGUAUGUGCUGUGUAAAGAGACAGUGAAGCUGCUUAUCUAUAUUAAGGCAGCACCUCUGUGGCACUGUUCCGGGGCUGGGAAAAGUUGCUGCAGCAACAGCUCAAGUUAUGUAAUACUCAGUUCCACGAUGGAUGAGUAAGCCUGUUUGCAGGGGGCUGCAAUCCCAAGCUCUCCACUCCUGUCAGUUUCUGCCCCUGCUUGCAAAGUGGAAUGCAUUUUAUAAUAGGUUUUAUAAUUCUCUGUUGAGAGUAAUUUAGACUUGCUCUGCUAACUAGUAAUAAUGGCAAUAUGGAGAGAGAAUAAUUCUAGACAUACUUGGUAUCACUUUGUACUUGGCAUGUUUGAAGUGGCAAUAAAAAUUGGAUUUUGUUUAUUUUACAGAAUCCAAAAUGUUGCUGAAGCAUUGCAAAGUGUAGCAAGACUUGUGUUCAUGUAACUUGGCAUGCGUCACCACGCUAAGCAUCAAGUCAUUAGUGAGCACCAUGGAUUAACGAACUUUUUGUUAAAUCUUCAGAGUUUAGUUACCUGUCCUGGCCUCUAGCUUCUUUCUGUGGUUUCUCCAAAGCCUAGUUCUGACAAACUCCAAAGCUUUUGGAAUAUUUUGGACUUAUGCAUUCAGGUCCAAGCAGGGGGGAAGGGAAGCAGCUGUAACGGAAUUCAGAUUUCAUCCAGGUCCUAGUGAUGGGGAGGCAAAGUGUGACCUGGAAGACUUGACUUUCAACCCAGCCUAUCCUGGCUAUAAGACCUAAUCCCUGCUUUCUCAGGAGAGAGUCUUCUGAGAAAUUUACAUGCUAUGAAACACAGAAAUACUUACCUGAGCAUUCAGCUAUUCCAGGUUUUGAAUGACUUUUUUAUGGUUUAGUGGUGGACUUGGCAGUGCUAGGUUAACAGCUGGACUUGAUGAUCUUAAAAUUCUCUUCCAACGUAAAUGAUUCCAUGAUUUUUGUAUGCCACAUUUUUAUUUCCUGUAUUUCCUAGAAGAGGUGAGGGCUGUAAACACACCAUCUUGCUGCAAAUGGUCUUUUCUUGACAGAUAGUAUGGCUUUUUUCUUUACAUCUGCUCAAACUUUGCACACCACUUUUGCUGUUCUUUAAGAAAUACAAUCCAGUGCUUAUUUCUGGAGCUGAAUGCCUAGAUUCUCAUUUGCAUUGAUUACUAUGUCAACCAGGAUGUCUUUCAUCUUGUUCAGCCACACCCUGCUAUUCACUUCCCUUUCACUGUACUGUCAUCUCCAUGCCCUCACUCUUUGGUCCUUCAGCUUUGCUUGCAUGGGUUGAUCUUAAUGACUGGGGGCAUUUGGUGAUGAUGGUGGAAGUAAAGAAUCAAAAGCUGCAAGAAAACCCAAGCUGAAAGGUUUACACUGGGUAUUCCAUCUCACAGAUGAAGUGGCUGAGAACCUUCAAAAUGGCAAUGCCUUCUGAGAAUAAACCUUGAGACAGGGUCAGCUGAGCAGUACAGGAUUCAAGCUGGGGUCACAGAGGGAGCAGCUGAUCAGAUUAUCAGGCCAGUAGAAACUCAUCUUUUGAUUUUUUAGAGAUAAAUCGGCUUAUCCAACCACGGAAAGGCUGGCUCCAAAGCACCAGCAUGUUCUCCACCUCUUCUGCUGCUACUGGAUGUUGAGUCUGCAGUCAGCUAUUGUAAUAGUCUGUUACAACUAUUGCCAUAAUCGCCAUUCUCCAUGUCAUGUCUCCAAGUUU